UGCUACUUCAUUAAUCUUAUUGAUUAGUGUACCUGUUGUAUUUGCUUCUCCUGAGGGUUGGUCGGGUAACAAAAAUGUUGUAUUUUCCGGUAC
rnacentral:tRNA from 1 species